AAAGUUAAAUGAGAGACCGGGAUUAGAUACCCCGUUAUUUUUUUUAUAAAUUUUGAUUAAUUAUUUAGUUUACCUGAGUAUUACGGGUUGGGGAGUAUGAAAAACAAAUGUAAAAAUUGUUGUGAUAUUUUCCAGGUACUUAAAACUCAAAAAACUUGGCGGUGCCUUAUUUCCUUCCAGGGGAACCUGUCCUGUAAUCGAUGAUCCACGAUUUAGCUUACUUUUUUUUGAAGCUUAUGUAAUAAGUUAUCAGUUUGUAUACCGCCGUCGUCANAUUACCUUUAANAGUUAAAAAGUUGUCGGAUAAAAUUGGAGGUACUAAUAAUAAAAUAAUAGUGCUAAUCAACUUUUGAUGUCAGGUCAAGGUGCAGCUUAUAUAAAAGUAGAGAUGGGUUACAAUAUAGAUUUUAUACAAUGAAUACUAGUUUGUAAUAAUUAGGUGAAAGUGGACUUGGGAGUAAUAUANUUUAUGUAAAAUAAAUUAGGNAGUCUAUGUGAAUAUAGGUACUAAGGUGCGU
rnacentral:rRNA from 1 species